rnacentral:rRNA from 1 species
CACCUGGAAACAGAUGCUAAUACCGGAUAACAACAGAUGAUGCCUAUCAACUGUUUAAAAGAUGGUUCUGCUAUCACUCUUGGAUGGACCUGCGGUGCAUUAGCUAGUUGGUAGGGUAACGGCCUACCAAGGCGAUGAUGCAUAGCCGAGUUGAGAGACUGAUCGGCCACAUUGGGACUGAGACACGGCCCAAACUCCUACGGGAGGCAGCAGCG